GCCUUACUUCUUUUCCUGCUCCAAGUGGCCCACACGCACUCUGCAGAGCACUUCUUUUAGAGUACUUUUUCUUCUAGAAUGUUUCUUUUGCAUUUCAUUUUCAUCUUCUUUUGCCCUAUAUAAAUGUUAAACUUUCAUGUUCACCACCUGUUCCAUCUAAUUCUUUUGAACAGGACAGUAGGCAUCUGGAAAGGACCCACUGCUCACUACAACACCCAGUGACAUCAGGAUUACAGGGAGACUGCUCAACUUUUCUGUGCUGCCUUUCUUCUGAAGAUAAAAAGUUAGUGUCCAGAAGCAGGAUCCUGAAAAGCAGAAUCGAGAAGACGACUUUAGAAAAUAUUGCAAGCAGGAAACUGAAAUCCAAUCCACUUUUGGGCUUCCUGAUGAGCCACGCUCCCUUGAAAACAUCAUGGAGUUGAUUUUAUCUGCUUUGUCAGCUCUAACAAGCUGAAAUGUUCAAAUGCUGUUUGUGAAGAUGUUUCCCCUUGCUCUGAUGACAUGGAGGUGAAGAAACUGGAUACAAUAUUCCUGAGCGCCAGACUGAGUAGUCAAGAUGCAUUGUGCUUGUCACACAUGGGACUUAUCUCCAUGCCACGCUCCCUCUCUCGGUCUCCCUGGCGGAAGAACUCUUCCAUUAUCCGGUCUGUCCACUGGCGGUACAGCUGAAGAGGCUUUGUUGGGUUGCUCAGAUCUGCACAAUGCACCAUAUUCUGGAGAACCUGAAAUGGAGGCGUUCUCUAUUCAGCACUUGCUCUUUUUUUUAAGCUAGAAAUUCACAUUGGAUGUCUGUGACACUUAAAAAUACAUGUAGUGUAAGAUUUAUUCCAAAUAGCUCAACCAUGAUGUGUCUCUGUGUGGUUCACACUUAUAUUAAUAGCUCCAAAUUAUGCCACUUCUACCGCAUCUAAGUAUCAUAAGAGAAACUGUUUAUGUACAUGGUUGAUUAAAUUCAGAGCUACUUAAA